CUAACGUGGUGUAGGGGGUGCACUUAGAGUUUUGAUCUCUAAAGGGUAGGUUCGAGUCCUAUUUUUUUAGGAU
rnacentral:tRNA from 1 species